CGAAAGUUACGCUAAUACCGCAUAUUCUGUGAGCAGGAAAGAGGGGGGAUCGCAAGACCUCUUGCUUUAGGAGCGGCCGAUGUCGGAUUAGCUAGUUGGUGAGGUAAAGGCUCACCAAGGCGACGAUCCGUAGCGGGUCUGAGAGGAUGAUCCGCCACACUGGGACUGAGACACGGCCCAGACUCCUACGGGAGGCAGCAGUGGGGAAUUUUGGACAAUGGGCGCAAGCCUGAUCCAGCCAUGCCGCGUGAGUGAAGAAGGCCUUCGGGUUGUAAAGCUCUUUCGGUGGGGAAGAAAUUGCUUCGGUUAAUGCCUGGAGUAGAUGACGGUACCCGCAUAAGAAGCACCGGCUAACUACGUG
rnacentral:rRNA from 1 species